ACACGGCGGUUCGCGGAAUCGUACUUCCUCUCUUCACCCAGCUGCAACUGUGUGCGUGUUAAUUCGCUGUAUGUGUGUGCGUGCCUACACUGCAAUUCGUGACGGAUUUUUGUGGAUUUCAAAAAGAAAAAUAGUUUGCAUUUGACAGGUGCAAUCUGUGUCCCCUCAAAAAAAAAAAAAAACAGAAAGUGUGUGGGUGCAUCGUCAUUUUGCAGCACAACUGGUAAGCGAGAAAAUUGAUUAAAAUUCAGAUUACAAAGGGGGGAAAUAUAUUUAAAAAAUAUAUGUAGCUUAAAUCUUAAGUAUUUGCGUGAGUUUGUGUGUGAAAGAGAGAGAGCGAGAGAGUGCAGCCAGAAAUUGCAAUACACACAAACAAAAAGCGGCCGGCUUGCUCUCCUCUUCCUCUUUCUCUCUUCCUCUUCUUCUCCUCUUCCGCCCCUCACCCCUUCGUCAUUCCACUUUUGGAUGCACUUGGUGCGAUUCAUUUGCCUUUAUUACCAUUUUUGCCCGUCUCUGCACUGUUUUUUUCCUCAUUUUGUGGGGGCUUUUGGCACGGUGGCAACCCUGGCAGCCAAAUGCGUUGGUGAAUAAGUUCUCUACCCUUUUGUCAGUGUGGGACGCGACUUUGAAAUGCUUGCAGCUAGCGAAUCCUUUUAGGACUUAAAACUUCAUAAACAGAAAGGCAACAACAAAAAAAUCUACAAAUGGCAGCACUUUUCCUACUUCCUUCUUUCAUACCAUUUGAACUCCUUCCUUUCGAUGGGCAAGGGAGAGAAAGGGAUGGGUAGAGUGGUGCCAAAGGACAAUGGUUCAAGUGCAAAGAGGAUGCCAAGCCACAUGCAACAAUGCCAACAACAAGGACCGAGCGAACGCCGAAGGACAUGCCAUGCAAUUUCCUUCUCUAUGAUGAAUAUGUAAUGCAAUUUUUCCAUCGCUGGCUUUCCUUUGUUGCAAAAUUGCAGCGAACUGGGCGAUCGGCUUACGUGGCCAGAGAGACAAAUCUAUCGGGGAUUAGGACAAGUCAAGUGGAAUUGUUUCUUACACAAAGCUCUCCUUGCAGUUUAUCGCAGGUGAAUGUGGACACAAUGGGAAACAAGCAAUAAACAAUCAAUUCUAUGAAAAAUGUAAUAUUAGAUAUACUGCACAAAAACAAAUCUAUUCAGGUUAAGUAGAAUUUAUUUCAUAUUGCUUUCCUCUUUCUCUUGCAGAUUAUCGAACACUAAAGUGGCCACAAAGUGGAAAUAACCAUAAACGUAAAUAUAUGAUUGCAACUAAUUAGCCACUAUUUGACCUCAAAGAAGAAUGAAAAAGAAUCAUGAGUCAGAAGAAUAAGGAACUCACUUCUAUUGUCCUGCCGGAAUUUCACAACUUUACCAAAUGGAUUAUCACGUUUCCCUACCCAAAAGGGGUUGGUUUUUGAUGCUCCGGGACGAAUUCAAUUUCAAGUACCAACUAAACGAUUUCUAAUCCAACACGAAAUGGUGCAUACUUACAUAUGGACCAUUAACAGAAACCCGUAAAUCCGAACUUGUGCUGUUUUAUAUCUGUUACAAGACCGGCAUUAUGGGAGUCUGUCAAUGCAAACAACUGGUUUUUGGCAACAAAAUCGAAUGACAAAUCUAAAACAUGUAAUGAUGCCGGAGUAUGCAUAAAACGUCGAAUAAAAAGCGAUAAUAAACAUGAAAAAGUUAUAAUAUUAAUUCAAAUAAUAAUUAUAAACAUAAAUAAAAUACAACAAAUGAAGCUUACCAGACAAUUCUCGAAAAAAAUUAAUUUAAAAUAAAAAAUAACCUGUGGCUAAAAAAAUUAAGCCAAAAGAUAACAAUUUAAAUUUGAUUAAGCAUUCAUUUUCGCUAACACAUGCAUCCAAAUAAAAUGCGUUAUAAAAUUAUGGUUCAAAGAAAAUGAACUUAAAAAAAAAAAAGAUUUAAUAAACUCAAAGAUUAUAUGAAUAUCUGAUAACACAAUAAAUAAAUAAAUCAAGAAAGAAUGAUUGCUAUUAAAAAUGUUUUAUUUGUGAAACAUAUUUAUCAUGUUUUAUUUAUAAACGUAUGUAUAUUCAUUUAAUAAUAGCAAAAAUAUUACCGUAUUCCCAUAUGAUUUCUCCCCGUUAUUAUUCUUCUUGUUUGCCAACAUCUCUUAAACCAAAAACCGAACCAAUAAAUUCACCCAGAAAAU